GACGAACGCUGGCGGCGUGCUUAACACAUGCAAGUCGAACGGUAAGGCCCUUCGGGGUACACGAGUGGCGAACGGGUGAGUAACACGUGGGCAAUCUGCCCUGCACUCUGGGACAAGCCCUGGAAACGGGGUCUAAUACCGGAUAUGACUUCCUGCCGCAUGGUGGGGGGUGGAAAGCUCUGGUGGUGCAGGAUGAGCCCGCGGCCUAUCAGCUUGUUGGUGGGGUGAUGGCCUACCAAGGCGACGACGGGUAGCCGGCCUGAGAGGGCGACCGGCCACACUGGGACUGAGACACGGCCCAGACUCCUACGGGAGGCAGCAGUGGGGAAUAUUGCACAAUGGGCGGAAGCCUGAUGCAGCGACGCCGCGUGGGGGAUGACGGCCUUCGGGUUGUAAACCUCUUUCAGCAGGGAAGAAGCGUGAGUGACGGUACCUGCAGAAGAAGCACCGGCUAACUACGUGCCAGCAGCCGCCGUAA
rnacentral:rRNA from 1 species